GGUUCCUCCAUCUUCCAGUUGACGGCACAAGAUCCAGAUAAUGACACCUUAUUUUUUAGCACGGACACGGAGGAGACAGCAAAACUGGUCAGCUUGACCCCUGCCAGAUAUAAUGGGAGCAGUUGGAACACGGACCUCAAGUUAAAGAAAAUACUAGACUGGGACAAUAGCCCUAGAACCAGAGAUUUGUACUUCAAGGUGUCAGACAAUAUGUUUACAGUAAG